rnacentral:lncRNA from 1 species
UUAUACAUAUUUGUUUUUCGUAAAUUUUUUUUUACAUAAAUAAGGCCGUUAGUUUUCUCGUUUGAAUUGUUUUACAUUGUCUCAUCGGGCCUAUUAUAGCUGACUAUGCGGUUUGGGCUUUGCUCAUUGUUGAAGACCGUACGGUGACCUAUAGUUGUUAAUGUCUGUGUCAUUUUGGUCUUUUGUGGAUAGUUGUCUCAUUGGCAAUCAUACCACAUCUUCUUUUUUUAUAUUUAACAGACAUUUUCAUUUGUCGCUUGUACAGUGAGAAUUACCAUGUAAAAAAAAU